UUUUUUUUUUUUUUUGCUUUUUGUUUCUUUUUUUUUUUAAUUGUGGUAUGAGGGCUAAUUAUAAUUCGAAGCAUUCUUGAGUGGAAGAAAAAUAACCAGAAAGUCAAAGCCUAACAUGUGAAAUUUUACUAAUUGUGUUAUGAAAAAGAAAUAUGUUAAGCAAAUAAUAUAGCCAAUAGAUAUCAAGAGUUAUGUACAUAAUCAGUUUAAAGUUGAGUGGGAAAAAAAAAGAAGUAACUCUAAAAUCUCUAAUUCCUAAUAUAGGCUUUUUCCACCCUUCUCUAACAACCUAGCAAAUUUUCUCUACAUUUUUUUUAUUAGGAUGAAAUAAAAAAGGAACAAUUUUUGUAAGUUUCGAUACAUAGUUUAAUAAAAUUUCGAGGAGGGAAAUUGAAACUAAAUUUUCAACCCAAUUAAACACACUAGACGCAAUAGUAGAUUUGAUCCUUUAAAGCUUGCUUUUAGUCUAAACAUAUACUUUUUUUUUGCCAACUAAAAGCAUAAAAAACUAUUGUAAGUGUGUUUUUAGUGUUUUUAGCAUAAAACUUAAUUUUGAUGGUUCCAUCACAUAAGGAUUAAAUUGGCUAUAGAAAAUAGUCGAAAGAUUUAAUUGGCCAAAAUAGGGAUGAUAGACCAAUUCAACUUUAGUAAACUAGUUGAGGGAUUAUUAUUGUCAUUUGCUCAAAACUAAGUCUAGCUCUUUCUCUGUUUAGACAAGAUAUUAAUUUUUAUUUUUAAGGUUGUUGACUUUUUUUGGAUGCAUCAACAAAUAAACAAGUGUAAAAUUGUAUUAAAAUGAUUUCAUUAAAUGGCAGUGGGAACAAAUUUUUUUCAAUGUGGGUUAAACUUAUAAGUAAUUUUUUACGUACAUACAAAGAUUUUGGUGGGGGGUUAGUGGGGACAAUUGGGGAUAAUUGCCCGCACUGCUCCACUUUAUCUCGGUAUCUAAUUGUUUUCGAUUAAAAAGAAAGUGACGAGUCACAUUUCAAAAUAAAUAAAUUGAUAUCAAUAUAUAGGAAAUUGAUAGAUAUUGGCCCUAUCUUUCAUGCAUCACUCGUUCACUCACAGAAUUGGCAUUAGAGGGAAAACAACCCCAAAACUGCAGAGUGAAUUAGACUUUAAAAAUGAUGUGUUGUUAAACAAUGAGACAGAGAAAUAUUUGGAGUUUGACAUAAAUUUCACCAUUUCUUAAAUUAUCAAGAAAUGUAUAAAAAGGUUUAACUGUUGACAAUAUUUAACUGUUCGUAUUCAUUUUGUCCCAAAAUUGGCCAAAACAUUUCAAAAUUGUGGAUUCUAGAUGUCUCACAGACAUUCAAAGAUUAGAUGUGAACCCUGGCUGAAACCAGUGGAAGUUUAAUUACAUGAAAUGUCUGCAGCUGAAUGUGAACAUGUUAAAGCCAAUUAAUUCCGCUGAUAAUUUUCAUGUUGUCACAAUUCUGGCCCAAAAUCUUUUAAGUCCGUAGUGUCUAGAUGCCUCAUGCAUACAUCAAAAUCCAGGGUGUGAAUCCUGGUUCUUAUCAGUGAAAGUUGAGCUCCAUGAAAUUUCUGUGGCUCAAAGGUGAAGAGGUUAAAGCCAGUUCUGAAGGCUUUGAAGCUUCAACGUACUUAUGGUAGUCAGACAAGAACUGCUGCAAAAGAAAGCUUUUCUUCGUGAAUCAUGAGCAGAGAUAAAACCAAGGACGCUGUUCUCCAUAGUAUUUAAUGCUCCUUUAACAGCUUCUAACAGAUAAAAGGAAAAGUUCAAGAUGCAAAUGAAGGGGCUUUAAGAUUUUCUAUCCAUUGUAGUGGCUGUCUAUACCUUUCAAAGAUUAGGCGGCCUUGGACAGAAACACUUGCUAUAGAUAGCUCAAAAAAAUGAAUAAAUGGAGGUUUACAUGUAGUUUAAGAAAACUCCCCACAUUUCUGUUCUCUGACUAACUAAACAUUUAAGCAGUAAGAAAUGACUGAUCAGCCGUCAAUGGUCUCAUUCCUCUUCC
rnacentral:lncRNA from 1 species